rnacentral:rRNA from 1 species
UACGUAGGGUGCGAGCGUUGUCCGGAAUUACUGGGCGUAAAGGGCGCGUAGGCGGCCAGCACAAGUCAGUUGUGAAAUCUCCGAGCUUAACUCGGAGCGGUCAACUGAUACUGUGCGGCUAGAGUGCGGAAGGGGCAACUGGAAUUCUUGGUGUAGCGGUGAAAUGCGUAGAUAUCAAGAGGAACACCUGCGGCGAAGGCGGGUUGCUGGGCUGACACUGACGCUGAUGCGCGAAAGCCAGGGGAGCGAACGGG